rnacentral:rRNA from 1 species
UACAGAGGGUGCGAGCGUUGUCCGGAAUCACUGGGCGUAAAGGGCGCGUAGGCGGCUUGUCACGUCGGGUGUGAAAGACCGGGGCUUAACUCCGGUUCUGCAUUCGAUACGGGCUAGCUAGAGUGUGGUAGGGGAGAUCGGAAUUCCUGGUGUAGCGGUGAAAUGCGCAGAUAUCAGGAGGAACACCGGUGGCGAAGGCGGAUCUCUGGGCCAUUACUGACGCUGAGGAGCGAAAGCGUGGGGAGCGAACAGG